AUACGUAGGUGACAAGCGUUAUCCGGAUUUACUGGGCGUAAAGGGCGUGUAGGCGGUCUUGCAAGUCAGAAGUGAAAUUCCUGAGCUCAACUCGGGCGCUGCUUCUGAAACUGCAGGACUUGAGUGCUGGAGGGGAUAGCGGAAUUCCUAGUGGAGCGGUAAAAUGCGCAGAUAUUAGAAAGAACACCGGUGGCGAAGGCGGCUAUCGGGACAGUAACUGACGCUGAGGCGCGAAAGCGUGGGAAGCAAACAGGAUUAGAUCCCCUGGUAUGCCACGCCGUAAACGAUGAAUACUAGGUGUAGGGUGUAUCGACUCCCUCUGUGCCGCAGUUAACACAAUAAGUAUUCCGCCUGGGGAGUACGGCCGCAAGGUUGAAACUCAAAUGAAUUGACGGGG
rnacentral:rRNA from 1 species